AGAGUUUGAUCAUGGCUCAGAUUGAACGCUGGCGGCAUGCCUUACACAUGCAAGUCGAACGGCAGCACGGGGGCAACCCUGGUGGCGAGUGGCGAACGGGUGAGUAACACAUCGGAACGUGUCCUGUUGUGGGGGAUAACCCAUCGAAAGGUGAGCUAAUACCGCAUGAUCUGGAGACAGCAAAGCAGGGGACCGGUAACGGCCUUGCGCGAUUGGAGCGGCCGAUGUCCGAUUAGCUAGUUGGUGGGGUAAAGGCCCACCAAGGCGACGAUCGGUAGCUGGUCUGAGAGGAUGAUCAGCCACACUGGGACUGAGACACGGCCCAGACUCCUACGGGAGGCAGCAGUGGGGAAUUUUGGACAAUGGGGGCAACCCUGAUCCAGCCAUGCCGCGUGAGUGAAGAAGGCCUUCGGGUUGUAAAGCUCUUUCGGUGGGAACGAAACGGUUACGACGAAUACUCGUGACUACUGACGGUACUCACAGAAGAAGCACCGGCUAACUACGUGCCAGCAGCCGCGGUAAUUC
rnacentral:rRNA from 1 species